AAGCAGUGGGAGCCCCACCACCAAAGCAUUUGCUGUACCGCGUUGACGGAGCGAAGCGACGUCAAACCGAUAAAACAGCAGUGUAAAGUGAGCCGCAGGGCGCUUUGCGCGACAGCGCAAAGGCAGGCGGUUUCGCGUAGCGAAAGCGAAUGCUUUGGGGUGGGGUGACUGCGUACCUUUUGUAUAAUGGGUCAGCGACUUAUAUUCUGUAGCAAGGUUAACCGAAUAGGGGAGCCGGAGGGAAACCGAGUCUUAAUUGGGCGUUAAGUUGCAGGGUAUAGACCCGAAACCCGGUGAUCUAGCCAUGGGCAGGUUGAAGGUUGGGUAACACUAACUGGAGGACCGAACCGACUAAUGUUGAAAAAUUAGCGGAUGACCUGUGGCUGGGGGUGAAAGGCCAAUCAAACCGGGAGAUAGCUGGUUCUCCCCGAAAGCUAUUUAGGUAGCGCCUCGUGAAUUCAUCUCCGGGGGUAGAGCACUGUUUCGGCUAGGGGGCCAUCCCGGCUUACCAACCCGAUGCAAACUGCGAAUACCGGAGAAUGUUAUCACGGGAGACACACGGCGGGUGCUAACGUCCGUCGUGAAGAGGGAAACAACCCAGACCGCCAGCUAAGGUCCCAAAGUCAUGGUUAAGUGGGAAACGAUGUGGGAAGGCCCAGACAGCCAGGAUGUUGGCUUAGAAGCAGCCAUCAUUUAAAGAAAGCGUAAUAGCUCACUGGUCGAGUCGGCCUGCGCGGAAGAUGUAACGGGGCUAAACCAUGCACCGAAGCUGCGGCAGCGACACUGUGUGUUGUUGGGUA
rnacentral:rRNA from 1 species